AUUGAACGCUGGCGGCAUGCUUUACACAUGCAAGUCGAACGGUAACAGGGUGCUUGCACCGCUGACGAGUGGCGAACGGGUGAGUAAUGCGUCGGAACGUGCCGAGUAGUGGGGGAUAACGCAUCGAAAGGUGUGCUAAUACCGCAUACGUACUGAGGUAGAAAGUGGGGGACCUUCGGGCCUCACGCUAUUCGAGCGGCCGACGUCUGAUUAGCUAGUUGGUGAGGUAAAGGCUCACCAAGGCGACGAUCAGUAGCGGGUCUGAGAGGAUGAUCCGCCACACUGGGACUGAGACACGGCCCAGACUCCUACGGGAGGCAGCAGUGGGGAAUUUUGGACAAUGGGCGCAGGCCUGAUCCAGCCAUGCCGCGUGUCUGAAGAAGGCCUUCGGGUUGUAAAGGACUUUUGUCCGGGAGCAAAUACCCAGUGCUAAUAACGCUGGGGGCUGAGAGUACCGGAAGAAUAAGCACCGGCUAACUACGCGCCAGCCGCCGCGGUAACAC
rnacentral:rRNA from 1 species